rnacentral:lncRNA from 1 species
UCUUGGUUAUCAACAAUUUACAACUGCAGAUAGUGGUGAAGAAUCGAAUCCACAGAGAAUUGAUUACCUAUUUAUUUUUCUCAACAAGACCAAUAAACUGAAACAAUGAGAUAAACCAAAAAUGAGAUAAACUGAAAGCGGAAUAAAAAUAAAUUGCAGUAAAAGUAAAAUGGGGGGUUUGAGAUUGAUUUGAUUAAUAAACUACUAAAAGCAAUUAAAAUAAGCGAAUAAUAAAAUAAAAGAGAAAUAAAUAAUAAGAAAGCUCUAGUUGAAGUAUUGGAUCCACUUUAGUCGUUGGGAUUGAUCACAGACACUUUGUUCUUUUGGGUUGAUUCAAUAGAUUAGUUAUAGAGAUGGAAGACGCUUCUCACCACCAUUAUCUCUCCUUAUUAUUAAAUUAAUUAGGGAACGUCCUCUAAUUAAUUACUAAUUAACAAAUUGCCAAGGAACGUCCUUGGGCCUUAGGCAUCAAAACAAUUGUCAAUUGCAUUAAGAAAUAGAGAGACCCAAUCCUAGCUACCCAAACGUAUGGAGAUAACGCUAGAUCAUACAAUUUCCUUGGGUUUUAUCCCAAG